rnacentral:rRNA from 1 species
GACGAACGCUGGCGGCGUGCUUAACACAUGCCAGUCGAACGGAAAGGCCCUGCUUUUGUGGGGUGCUCGAGUGGCGAACGGGUGAGUAACACGUGAGUAACCUGCCCUUGACUUUGGGAUAACUUCAGGAAACUGGGGCUAAUACCGGAUAGGAGCUCCUGCUGCAUGGUGGGGGUUGGAAAGUUUCGGCGGUUGGGGAUGGACUCGCGGCUUAUCAGCUUGUUGGUGGGGUAGUGGCUUACCAAGGCUUUGACGGGUAGCCGGCCUGAGAGGGUGACCGGCCAAAAUGGGACUGAGAGACGGCCCAGAAUCCUACGGGAGGCAGCAGUGGGGAAUAUUGCACAAUGGGCGGAAGCCUGAUGCAGCAACGCCGCGUGCGGGAUGACGGCCUUCGGGUUGUAAACCGCUUUCGCCUGUGACGAAGCGUGAGUGACGGUAAUGGGUAAAGAAGCACCGGCUAACUACGUG